CCCGCCGCGCGCGGCGGGCGGGGCGGGGGCACGGGGGGAACGCGAAGAACCUUACCUACUCUUGACAUCCAGAGAAUUUAGCAGAGAUGCUUUAGUGCCUUCGGGAACUCUGAGACAGGUGCUGCAUGGCUGUCGUCAGCUCGUGUUGUGAAAUGUUGGGUUAAGUCCCGCAACGAGCGCAACCCUUAUCCUUUGUUGCCAGCGAUUCGGUCGGGAACUCAAAGGAGACUGCCGGUGAUAAACCGGAGGAAGGUGGGGAUGACGUCAAGUCAUCAUGGCCCUUACGAGUAGGGCUACACACGUGCUACAAUGGCGUAUACAAAGAGAAGCGACCUCGCGAGAGCAAGCGGAACUCAUAAAGUACGUCGUAGUCCGGAUUGGAGUCUGCAACUCGACUCCAUGAAGUCGGAAUCGCUAGUAAUCGUAGAUCAGAAUGCUACGGUGAAUACGUUCCCGGGUCUUGUACACACCGA
rnacentral:rRNA from 1 species